CUAACAUUGUUAAGAUCUUGCAUCACUUUUAAUGUGUAUAACAGCUGGUCACCAGGUAGCUAUUGCUAUAAUUUCCAUCUUACAGAUGAGGAUGGCAAGGUGCUGAGAGCUUUCGGGAAGUGCACCAUUGGUGGUGGCACCCUUGCCCUCAAAGUACCGGGGCUUGGCGAGGGAUGAGAAGAAACUUGGAGGGAAUCAGAGGGCUUAGGGCGUGAUCAGGAGGACUGGACACAUCUCCUUCCUUCAGCAAGUACAGAACUGGCCGUUCCUCAGCCCAUCCCCAGGUGGAGCCUGCACCACGAGGAGGUCUCAAUGGAUGAUUAAAGCAACAGUAGAUGAUCACUCGAGCGCAGCCACCAUAGCCAGAGGACAAGUUGCAAUGCACACACAAGAGAGGACAGGCUGUACCAUCCACUCAGGAACUGUGACCACCUGUUCAUCUCCUGAGCAGCAACCGACUUGGAACACUAGACUGAUCCUGUUGACAUGAAAGACAUGUAAGGUUCAGUAGAUGCAGAAAGAAGAUGUCCUGGACUCCUCUUACCUGAUCAGAGGCACCAGCUUCAGGGAAACUCGGCUGCUGUGGACCGCCUCUCCAGGGGAAUUUUGUGGCCACCAAGGAGACAGACAGUUCCCUUGCACCUGAAUAAACCAACAUCACCAAGA